rfam:Filimonas lacunae strain DSM 21054 genome assembly, contig: Ga0111651_101
AACGCAGUAGCCGAAAAGCGAUAACAGAGUAGGCA